AUAAAAUUUUUUACUGAAAAAAAUAUAGCAUUUCAAUGACCAAUUUUUCAAAUUUGUAUUUUAUAGGUGCUUAAGAAGGAGAACAGGGUCUCAGGAAGUGACAGUCUCAUGGGAAUAGUUUUUUCUUCUCUGCCUUGAAUAGGAUAUUGGCCUACUACCCAUUGCCACCCCCCUAACCCUUCCAUCCCCGCCUUCAAGCAAAGAUGCACAUUACCUAAAGUUAGGGAUCAGAAAAGCAAAAAGACAGGAAAAAAAAGGCCAAGGAAAUAUGUUCUAUAAUUUGUUUCCAUAAAAAGAAGAGUGUUGAAAAUGGAAAAAGUUAAGGUAAAGUGAAAUUCAUUUUUUUCUUAUUUUAAAUUUCUCUUUAUAUCUGUAU
rnacentral:lncRNA from 1 species